rnacentral:rRNA from 1 species
ACUAACGCUGGCGGCGCGCCUAACACAUGCAAGUCGAACGAGAGAUGAGGAGCUUGCUCUUCAAAUCGAGUGGCGAACGGGUGAGUAACGCGUGAGGAACCUGCCUCAAAGAGGGGGACAACAGUUGGAAACGACUGCUAAUACCGCAUAAGCCCACGGCUCGGCAUCGAGCAGAGGGAAAAGGAGCAAUCCGCUUUGAGAUGGCCUCGCGUCCGAUUAGCUAGUUGGUGAGGUAACGGCCCACCAAGGCGACGAUCGGUAGCCGGACUGAGAGGUUGAACGGCCACAUUGGGACUGAGACACGGCCCAGACUCCUACGGGAGGCAGCAGUGGGGAAUAUUGCACAAUGGGGGAAACCCUGAUGCAGCGACGCCGCGUGGAGGAAGAAGGUCUUCGGAUUGUAAACUCCUGUUGUUGAGGAAGAUAAUGACGGUACUCAACAAGGAAGUGACGGCUAACUACGUGCCAGCAGCCGCGGUAAAACGUAGGUCACAAGCGUUGUCCGGAAUUACUGGGUGUAAAGGGAGCGCAGGCGGGAGAACAAGUUGGAAGUGAAAUCCAUGGGCUCAACCCAUGAACUGCCUUCAAAACUGUUUUUCUUGAGUAGUGCAGAGGUAGGCAGAAUUCCCGGUGUAGCGGUGGAAUGCGUAGAUAUCGGGAGGAACACCAGUGGCGAAGGCGGCCUACUGGGCACCAACUGACGCUGAGGCUCGAAAGUGUGGGUAGCAAACAGGAUUAGAUACCCUGGUAGUCCACACCGUAAACGAUGAUUACUAGGUGUUGGAGGAUUGACCCCUUCAGUGCCGCAGUUAACACAAUAAGUAAUCCACCUGGGGAGUACGACCGCAAGGUUGAAACUCAAAGGAAUUGACGGGGGCCCGCACAAGCAGUGGAGUAUGUGGUUUAAUUCGACGCAACGCGAAGAACCUUACCAAGUCUUGACAUCCCUUGACGAUGCUGGAAACAGUAUUUCUCUUCGGAGCAAGGAGACAGGUGGUGCAUGGUUGUCGUCAGCUCGUGUCAUGAGAUGUUGGGUUAAGUCCCGCAACGAGCGCAACCCUUAUGGUCAGUUACUACGCAAGAGGACUCUGGCCAGACUGCCGUUGACAAAACGGAGGAAGGUGGGGAUGACGUCAAAUCAUCAUGCCCUUUAUGACUUGGGCUACACACGUACUACAAUGGCGUUAAACAAAGAGAAGCAAGACCGCGAGGUGGAGCAAAACUCAGAAACAACGUCCCAGUUCGGACUGCAGGCUGCAACUCGCCUGCACGAAGUCGGAAUUGCUAGUAAUCGUGGAUCAGCAUGCCACGGUGAAUACGUUCCCGGGCCUU